UUGACCUCGAAUCAGGUAGGGAUACCCGCUGAACUUAAGCAUAUCAAUAAGCGGANNNNNNNNNNNNNNNNNNNNNNNNNNNAGUAACGGCGAGUGAAGCGGUAACAGCUCAAAUUUGAAAUCUGGCUCCCUUGGGAGUCCGAGUUGUAAUUUGUAGAAGAUGCUUUGGUAUCGAGUCCGGCCUAAGUUCCUUGGAACAGGACGUCAUAGAGGGUGAGAACCCCGUAUGGUGGCCGGGUGCUCGGUGCUAUGUAAAGCUCUUUCGACGAGUCGAGUUGUUUGGGAAUGCAGCUCAAAAUGGGUGGUAAAUUUCAUCUAAAGCUAAAUAUUGGCCAGAGACCGAUAGCGCACAAGUAGAGUGAUCGAAAGAUGAAAAGCACUUUGGAAAGAGAGUUAAACAGUACGUGAAAUUGUUGAAAGGGAAGCGCUUGCAACCAGACUUGGGCGCUGCGGAUCAUCCGAGGUUCUCUUCGGUGCACUCGGCAGCGCGCAGGCCAGCAUCAGUUUGGGUGGUUGGAUAAAGAUCAGUGGAAUGUAGCUCCUUUCGGGGAGUGUUAUAGCCACUUGUGACAUGCGACCAACCCGGACUGAGGACCGCGCUUCGGCUAGGAUGCUGGCGUAAUGGUUGUAAGCGACCCGUCUUGAAACACGGACCAAGGAGUCUAACAUCUAUGCGAGUGUUUGGGUGUUAAACCCAUACGCGGAAUGAAAGUGAACGUAGGUGAGAACCCAUAAGGGGGCAUCAUCGACCGAUCCGGAUGUCUUCGGAUUUUGAGU
rnacentral:rRNA from 1 species